CUCAGUAACGGCGAGUGAAGCGGCAAAAGCUCGAAUUUGAAAUCUGCCUCUUGUAGGCCGAGUUGUAAUUUGAAGACGUUAAGCAUGGGAACCGCGGACGUGCAAGUGCCUUGGAACAGGCCGCCGAGGAGGGUGAGAGCCCCGUAGCAUGUCUUGAGUGGUUUCCGCUGCUGGCGUCGAAGAGUCGAGUUGUUUGGGAAUGCAGCUCUAAGCGGGUGGUAUAUUCCAUCUAAGGCUAAAUAUUGGCGAGAGACCGAUAGCAAACAAGUACAGUGAUGGAAAGAUGAAAAGAACUUUGAAAAGAGAGUGAAAAAGUACGUGAAAUUGUUGAAAGGGAAGGGUAUUUGAUCCGACAUGGCGUCUAGCCGUCGUCUCCCGCAAGGGGGGCGCUCCGGUUUUACGCUGGGCCAGCAUGAGUUGCUGGAGAGGGAGAAGAGCUGGAGGAAUGUAACCCCUCGGGGUAUUAUAGCCUCUUGCCCGUUGCCUCUCCCGGCGACUGAGGACCGCGGGCGCAAGCCCAA
rnacentral:rRNA from 1 species